UGGGGGAUUUUGCACAAUGGGCGCAAGCCUGAUGCAGCGACGCCGCGUGAGGGAUGAAGGCCUUCGGGUUGUAAACCUCUUUCGCUGGGUUGAAAGGCCAUGCUUUGGGUGUGGUUGAUUUGAACUGGUAAAGAAGUACCGGCUAACUACGUGCCAGCAGCCGCGGUAAUACGUAGGGUACUAGCGUUGUCCGGAUUUAUUGGGCGUAAAGGGCUUGUAGGUGGUUUGUCGCGUCUGUCGUGAAAUCCUGUGGCUUAACCAUGGGCUUGCGGUGGGUACGGGCAGGCUUGAGUGCGGUAGGGGAGACUGGAAUUCCUGGUGUAGCGGUGGAAUGCGCAGAUAUCAGGAGGAACACCGGUGGCGAAGGCGGGUCUCUGGGCCGUUACUGACACUUAGGAGCGAAAGCGUGGGGAGCGAACAGG
rnacentral:rRNA from 1 species